GAUGAACGCUGGCGGCGUGCCUAAUACAUGCAAGUCGAGCGAACGGACGAGAAGCUUGCUUCUCUGAUGUUAGCGGCGGACGGGUGAGUAACACGUGGAUAACCUACCUAUAAGACUGGGAUAACUUCGGGAAACCGGAGCUAAUACCGGACAAUAUUUUGAACCGCAUGGUUCAAAAGUGAAAGACGGUCUUGCUGUCACUUAUAGAUGGAUCCGCGCUGCAUUAGCUAGUUGGUAAGGUAACGGCUUACCAAGGCAACGAUGCAUAGCCGACCUGAGAGGGUGAUCGGCCACACUAGAACUGAGACACGGUCCAGACUCCUACGGGAGGCAGCAGUAGGGAAUCUUCCGCAAUGGGCGAAAGCCUGACGGAGCAACGCCGCGUGAGUGAUGAAGGUCUUCGGAUCGUAAAACUCUGUUAUUAGGGAAGAACAUAUGUGUAAGUAACUGUGCACAUCUUGACGGUACCUAAUCAGAAAGCCACGGCUAACUACGUG
rnacentral:rRNA from 1 species